rnacentral:rRNA from 1 species
ACUGCUCAGUAACACGUGGAUAACCUGCCCUUGGGUCCGGCAUAACCCCGGGAAACUGGGGAUAAUUCCGGAUAACGCACAUAUGCUGGAAUGCUUUAUGCGUAAAAUGGAUUCGUCUGCCCAAGGAUGGGUCUGCGGCCUAUCAGGUAGUAGUGGGUGUAAUGUACCUACUAGCCAACAACGGGUACGGGUUGUGAGAGCAAGAGCCCGGAGAUGGAUUCUGAGACAUGAAUCCAGGCCCUACGGGGCGCAGCAGGCGCGAAAACUUUACAAUGCGGGAAACCGUGAUAAGGGGACACCGAGUGCCAGCAUCAUAUGCUGGCUGUCCAGGUGUGUAAAAUACACCUGUUAGCAAGGGCCGGGCAAGACCGGUGCCAGCCGCCGCGGUAACACCGGCGGCCCGAGUGGUGAUCGUGAUUAUUGGGUCUAAAGGGUCCGUAGCCGGUUUGGUCAGUCCUCCGGGAAAUCUGACGGCUCAACCGUUAGGCUUUCGGGGGAUACUGCCAGGCUUGGAACCGGGAGAGGUAAGAGGUACUACAGGGGUAGGAGUGAAAUCUUGUAAUCCCUGUGAGACCACCUGUGGCGAAGGCGUCUUACCAGAACGGGUUCGACGGUGAGGGACGAAAGCUGGGGGCACGAACCGGAUUAGAUACCCGGGUAGUCCCAGCCGUAAACGAUGCUCGCUAGGUGUCAGGCAUGGCGCGACCGUGUCUGGUGCCGCAGGGAAGCCGUGAAGCGAGCCACCUGGGAAGUACGGCCGCAAGGCUGAAACUUAAAGGAAUUGGCGGGGGAGCAC